rnacentral:rRNA from 1 species
GAUGAACGCUGGCGGCGUGCCUAAUACAUGCAAGUCGAGCGAACAGAUGAGGAGCUUGCUCCUCUGACGUUAGCGGCGGACGGGUGAGUAACACGUGGAUAACCUACCUAUAAGACUGGGAUAACUUCGGGAAACCGGAGCUAAUACCGGAUAAUAUAUUGAACCGCAUGGUUCAAUAGUGAAAGACGGUUUUGCUGUCACUUAUAGAUGGAUCCGCGCCGCAUUAGCUAGUUGGUAAGGUAACGGCUUACCAAGGCAACGAUGCGUAGCCGACCUGAGAGGGUGAUCGGCCACACUGGAACUGAGCCACGGUCCAGACUCCUACGGGAGGCAGCAGUAUGGAAUCUUCCGCAAUGGGCGAAAGCCUGACGGAGCAACGCCGCGUGAGUGAUGAAGGUCUUCGGAUCGUAAAACUCUGUUAUUAGGGAAGAACAAAUGUGUAAGUAACUAUGCACGUCUUGACGGUACCUAAUCAGAAAGCCACGGCUAACUACGUG